rnacentral:rRNA from 1 species
AGAGGGUGCAAGCGUUAAUCGGAUUUACUGGGCGUAAAGCGUGCGUAGGCGGUUCGUUAAGUCGAUUGUGAAAGCCCUGGGCUCAACCUGGGAAUUGCAGUCGAUACUGAUGGACUAGAGAACGGUAGAGGGAGGCGGAACUCCAGGUGUAGCGGUGAAAUGCGUAGAUAUCUGGAAGAACACCGAUGGCGAAGGCAACCUCCUGGGCCUGUUCUGACGCUGAGGCACGAAAGCGUGGGUAGCAAACAGGAUUAGAUACCCUGGUAGUCCACGCUGUAAACGAUGAGAACUUGACGUCGGGUCGCUUAGCGAUUCGGUGUCGAAGCUAACGCGCUAAGUUCUCCGCCUGGGGAGUACGGCCGCAAGGUUGA